rnacentral:rRNA from 1 species
UACGGGGGGGGUAAGCGUUGUUCGGAAUUACUGGGCGUAAAGGGCUCGUAGGCGGCCAACUAAGUCAGACGUGAAAUCCCUCAGCUUAACUGGGGAACUGCGCCUGAUACUGGUUGACUUGAGUUUGGGAGAGGGACGCGGAAUUCCAGGUGUAGCGGUGAAAUGCGUAGAUAUCUGGAGGAACACCGGUGGCGAAGGCGGCGUCCUGGACCAAUACUGACACUGAGGAGCGAAAGCCAGGGGAGCAAACGGG